ACUUGUACCGACUGGAUGAGCAGCGAACGGGUGAGUAACGCGUGGGGAAUCUGCCUUUGAGCGGGGGACAACAUUUGGAAACGAAUGCUAAUACCGCAUAAAAACUUUAAACACAAGUUUUAAGUUUGAAAGAUGCAAUUGCAUCACUCAAAGAUGAUCCCGCGUUGUAUUAGCUAGUUGGUGAGGUAAAGGCUCACCAAGGCGAUGAUACAUAGCCGACCUGAGAGGGUGAUCGGCCACAUUGGGACUGAGACACGGCCCAAACUCCUACGGGAGGCAGCAGUAGGGAAUCUUCGGCAAUGGACGAAAGUCUGACCGAGCAACGCCGCGUGAGUGAAGAAGGUUUUCGGAUCGUAAAACUCUGUUGGUAGAGAAGAACGUUGGUGAGAGUGGAAAGCUCAUCAAGUGACGGUAACUACCCAGAAAGGGACGGCUAACUACGUGCCAGCAGCCGCGGUAAUACGUAGGUCCCGAGCGUUGUCCGGAUUUAUUGGGCGUAAAGCGAGCGCAGGUGGUUUAUUAAGUCUGGUGUAAAAGGCAGUGGCUCAACCAUUGUAUGCAUUGGAAACUGGUAGACUUGAGUGCAGGAGAGGAGAGUGGAAUUCCAUGUGGUAGCGGUUGG
rnacentral:rRNA from 1 species